ACUCAAAUGAAUUGACGGGGGCCCGCACAAGCGGUGGAGCAUGUGGUUUAAUUCGACGCAACGCGAAGAACCUUACCUGGGCUCGAACGGCGCAUGACAGGCUGUAGAAAUAUGGUCCUCCCGCAAGGGACUAGCGCCGAGGUGCUGCAUGGCUGUCGUCAGCUCGUGUCGUGAGAUGUUGGGUUAAGUCCCGCAACGAGCGCAACCCUCGUCCUGUGUUGCUACCCGCAAGGGGCACUCUCAGGAGACUGCCGGCGAUAAGCUGGAGGAAGGUGGGGAUGACGUCAAGUCAUCAUGGCCUUUAUGUCCAGGGCUACACACGUGCUACAAUGGACGGUACAAACCGCUGCGAACUCGCGAGGGGGAGCUAAUCGGAGAAAACCGUUCUCAGUUCGGAUCGCAGGCUGCAACUCGCCUGCGUGAAGCUGGAAUCGCUAGUAAUGGCGUAUCAGAAUGACGCCGUGAAUACGUUCCCGGGCCUUGUACACACCGCCCGU
rnacentral:rRNA from 1 species